CCUACGCGCGGCAGCAGUGAGGAAUAUUGGUCAAUGGGCGGAAGCCUGAACCAGCCAAGUCGCGUGAGGGAUUAAGGCCCUGCGGGUCGUAAACCUCUUUUGCCGGGGAGCAGAGGUCCGGACGUGUCCGGGCCGGGAGAGUUCCCGGAGAAAAGGCAUCGGCUAACUCCGUGCCAGCAGCCGCGGUAAUACGGAGGAUUCGAGCGUUAUCCGGAUUUAUUGGGUUUAAAGGGUGCGUAGGCGGGCAUUUAAGCCGGCGGUCAAAUGUCGGGGCUCAAACCCGGCCUGCCGUCGGAACUGGGUGCCUUGAGUGGGCGAGAAGUAUGCGGAAUGCGUGGUGUAGCGGUGAAAUGCAUAGAUAUCACGCAGAACCCCGAUUGCGAAGGCAGCAUACUGGCGCCCUACUGACGCUGAGGCACGAAAGUGCGGGUAUCGAACAGGAUUAGAUACCCCAGUAGUC
rnacentral:rRNA from 1 species